GGAAUUUUCCGCAAUGGGCGAAAGUCUGACGGAGCGACGCUGCGUGAAGGAUGACGGCCUGCGGGUUGUAAACUUCUUUUCUCGAAGAAGAAGCUCUGACGGUAUUCGAGGAAUAAGCAUCGGCUAACUCUGUGCCAGCAGCCGCGGUAAUACAGAGGAUGCAAGCGUUAUCCGGAAUCACUGGGCAUAAAGCGUCUGUAGGUGGUUUGAUAAGUCUGCUGUUAAAGACUAGGGCUUAACCCUAGGACAGCAGUGGAAACUGUUAGACUUGAGUGUGGUAGAGGUAGAGGGAAUUCCUAGUGUAGCGGUGAAAUGCGUAGAUAUUAGGAAGAACACCAAUGGCGAAAGCACUCUACUGGGCCAUAACUGACACUGAGAGACGACAGCUAGGGGAGCAAAUGGGAUUAGAUACCCCAGUAGCC
rnacentral:rRNA from 1 species